rnacentral:rRNA from 1 species
GACGAACCGUGCGACCGUUGUUCGGAUUCACUGGGCUUAAAGGGCGCGUAGGCGGCUUGCCAAGUCAGGGGUGAAAUCUUUCGGCUCAACCGGAAAAGUGCCUUUGAUACUGGCGAGCUAGAGGGAGGUAGGGGUGCGUGGAACUUCUGGUGGAGCGGUGAAAUGCGUAGAUAUCAGAAGGAACGCCGGUGGCGAAAGCGACGCACUGGAUCUCUACUGACGCUGAGGCGCGAAAGCUAGGGGAGCGAACGGG